rnacentral:lncRNA from 1 species
GUACAAAUUGAUGUUAGUGGAGAGUUUUGAUAGCUGCUGUUUCCAGUUCAAGUUCCAGUUUUAAUGGAAAACCUUUAAUCACAUUUAAUGGACAGAGAAAAAUGCCAUUUACUGGAUUGACUUCAACACCUGUUGCCUUUUAACAAUGGCAUAGGAUAGGUAUGGUGGUCAUAAAAGAGAUUUAAAUGGAAUGAAACUUGUGCAGAAGAAAUCAAGGAAAACAAUUUUGAACUGCUGUUACUUAAUAGCUGUUAGAGGCGAUCCAGUUCUUCAUCAAUGGUAUACGCUGGGACAAUUGCUGUUGAAAAACCACAAGCCGUACUAUCUGCAAAUAUUAUGGUGGACAUCAAAAAGCUUCCUUCAUCACUGAUAUCUCUGCAUUUUCUUAACAAUGGAUAUCCCCCCAACAGUUGCUCCUACUCCUCACUUUCCUCCUUCAUUCAACAUAAAGCAGACUCAAUACUCCUCAAUGCCUCACCAAGGUUCGUUAACUUCAUUAAUAGUGUUAUUGUUUCAAUAAAUUUGUUUAUUGGUUUUUAUCUUCUUACUAUAUAAUUAUAUCAGGCGUCAUUUUUUUUAAUGUUAAUUUUUUGUAAAAUUUUGAUGAUCUGGAUAGAAACCUUUUUUUUCUUAAGCUUUUGCAAUAUAAAACACUAGUUAAGAGAAAUACACUUUAUUUUAUGAAUAGGACCCUUAUCUCUGUUGAUAUUGUCUUAAUCUAUCUUAUAUUUACUUCCAUUAGUUCAAUCAUUAAAUUGUUAUUAAAUAAAACUAUAUUGUAUUCUGGAUUUCGUCAAAGGUAUUUUUUAAAAGAAUUAAAAAACAAUCUUUAUAGGCUUGUAUCAUUUCCAAUUUAUGUUUAUCUUGUACUAUUUAUAUUUUCCUAAGCUUCUCUAAGUUUAUUCCCAGAUUAUCAAAAUUAUAAUUUUUAUACUUGCGCAGCUGCGUCACUAUAGCCCUAUGAACACAAGUAUUAUUUUGGUUUUAAAGUUUAUGUUUUUUAAUAUUUCAUUUAUUGUAUUAACGGAAAACUAAAUUUUAUAGAAUUUAACUAACUAUAUCUUCAACCGGAUGAUAAUUUAAUAGUUAAUGGUCAAUUUAAUAUUUUUUCAUAGAAAUUAAAUUUGAUUAUUGAAUACCAAUGUCAAGCCAGUAGAAAUGAUUUAUUAGUGUUUAUUUUUUUUGAAAUAAUUUUUUUACUAAAUCAAUUUUGGAUACUUGUGUUCAUAUAGUUUUUUUUGCUUUUGAGAAUUGUUUUUGGUACCCUAACACAGAUGUUUUUAAUCAAUUUAUAUGAUUUUAAAACAGUUAUGUUUAUAUCUAUUUUGUACUUAAAUUUUAGUGAUAAAAUUUGUUUCUUUAACACAGAGAGCAAUGCACUUCAUGCAUUGUUUUCUUUUUUAUGUGCAGAAUUUUCUUUAAAUACAGUAUGUCCUCAGAACAAGAGCAAAAGCUUUUUUUAUUAACAUUUUUCAUAAAAAAUACAUUCCUUAUAAAAAUAUUUUUCUUUUUAGUAUUUUCAUUUCAAUUUUUUUAACAAAUAUAUUGUGAGCACACAUUUUAAAAUUAUUUUUCGUAGAUAUACUGUGCGAUUCAAGUAUAUUUAUACUAAAAUUGUAUUUUUUUUAAAUGUUUUUUAAUGUAUGUACUAGAAUCAAGGGUACUAGUUAAUAUACCACUGUAAUCCACUCAAAAUGGCAUAAAUUAAUUAUUUUAGAAGAGUUCAAUUGAAAAUAAAUACAUGAAUUUUAACCUUUAGUAUUACUGGUUGCCUAAUCGAUUCUUAUGUAAUGUUGUGGUAAUGUUCUUAUUAUUUAAAAAAAUCUUAUUUCCAGUAGUAAUUUUUUCUCUCAAUUUUAGUAUUUAAAUUGUAUCUAUCUUGUCAUAUUUAUUUAACAUAUCUAUUAGACCUCUACGACCCAUCAUCUCUGAAAAAUACAAACUGCUGUUUGCUAUGUGUUAAUAAUUUUUUUAUAAAAUAUGAAACAAACUUUAUCUCCUAAAAUUUAUGAAUUUUACACAGAUUUUACAUAUGAAAAUGGUCUGCUAGGGUAUAUAAUAUAUUUAUUGUAGGAUCAGUUGAAAUAUCAUAAGUCAUAAUAUAAAAAUUAAC